rnacentral:rRNA from 1 species
GAUGGACGCUGGCGGCGUGCCUAAUACAUGCAAGUCGAGCGAACGGACGAGAAGCUUGCUUCUCUGAUGUUAGCGGCGGACGGGUGAGUAACACGUGGAUAACCUACCUAUAAGACUGGGAUAACUUCGGGAAACCGGAGCUAAUACCGGAUAAUAUUUUGAACCGCAUGGUUCAAAAGUGAAAGACGGUCUUGCUGUCACUUAUAGAUGGAUCCGCGCUGCAUUAGCUAGUUGGUAAGGUAACGGCUUACCAAGGCAACGAUGCAUAGCCGACCUGAGAGGGGGAUCGGCCACACUGGAGCUGAGACACGGUCCAGACUCCUACGGGAGGCAGCAGUAGGGAAUCUUCGGCAAUGGGCGAAAGCCUGACGGAGCAACGCCGCGUGAGUGAUGAAGGUCUUCGGAUCGUAAAACUCUGUUAUUAGGGAAGAACAGAUGUGUAAGUAACUGUGCACAUCUUGACGGUACCUAAUCAGAAAGCCACGGCUAACUACGUG